UAGGGAAUCUUCGGCAAUGGGGGCAACCCUGACCGAGCAACGCCGCGUGAGUGAAGAAGGUUUUCGGAUCGUAAAGCUCUGUUGUAAGAGAAGAACGUGUGUGAGAGUGGAAAGUUCACACAGUGACGGUAACUUACCAGAAAGGGACAGCUAACUACGUGCCAGCAGCCGCGGUAAUACGUAGGUCCCGAGCGUUGUCCGGAUUUAUUGGGCGUAAAGCGAGCGCGGGCGGUUUAAUAAGUCUGAAGUUAAAGGCAGUGGCUUAACCAUUGUUCGCUUUGGAAAAUGUUAAACUUGAGUGCAGAAGGGGAGAGUGGAAUUCCAUGUGUAGCGGUGAAAUGCGUAGAUAUAUGGAGGAACACCGGUGGCGAAAGCGGCUCUCUGGUCUGUAACUGACGCUGAGGCUCGAAAGCGUGGGGAGCAAACAGG
rnacentral:rRNA from 1 species